CUUGCAGGUCGCUCACAUCAAUUGCAGAGGGGCAUUUUUGAGUUUUGCAAAAGUGUUAAAGACUGGACAACUAGACUAGACAACGAGAGAAACUAGAUGAUGAUGUUUUAAUGUUAACUUUAUACUCUAUUAUUAUGUGGUUUUUAUUUAAUUUUACAAUGUUUUGAAUCACAUAGUUGAUUUACUCUACCAGGAUUCCACUUUAAGUUCGCUUCAUAGUGCUUUUCAUCAAGUCAAUGAUCUAAAAGUGCUAAGCAGUAAAAAUACAAAACAUUCAAUAUGAAAAGAUUAUAAACUGCAGAGCCCAUAAAGGGACAUGGAGAAAAAGACACACAUACAAAAAAAAAAAAACUUGUGUGCACACGCGAAACAUUCAUGUGCGCACACUAAAGGGGUGCGUUGUUCUCCUGUUGUAACGGAGAUACCAUGGGACGUAUUCCCGCUCCAAUCAUUGUUCUCCGGUGGGGAUACACCUGUGGUAUCCCCACUCCAAGAGGAGAACAACCCGCCCCUUUAGCGUGUGCAUGCAAAACAUUUGUGUUUUUUUUUUUUUCUCCUUAUCCCUUUAGGGGCUCCUCAACAAACAUAAGUUUGAAUUAAAAGAAACACAAAAUAUUCAAAAGAAAUCUUUAAAAUGGUCUCCAUCUUGAAAUUUCAAGCAGCUUGGGGCAUUUUCUUAUUAAGUUACUCAUUGGGAAUGGUCUUACCAAUUUUCA